UGGCUCAGAAUCAACGCUGGCGGCGUGCCUAACACAUGCAAGUCGAACGCGAAAGGGGCUUCGGCCCUGAGUAGAGUGGCAAACGGGUGAGUAACACGUGGGUGACCUGCCUCAGAGUGGGGGAUAACGUUCCGAAAGGAGCGCUAAUACCGCAUGACAUCCUGCGCUUGGAAGCGCGGUGAUUAAAGCCGGGGAUCGCAAGACCUGGCGCUUGGAGAGGGGCCCGCGGCCGAUUAGCUAGUUGGUGGGGUAAUGGCUCACCAAGGCAACGAUCGGUAUCCGGCCUGAGAGGGCGGACGGACACACUGGGACUGAGACACGGCCCAGACUCCUACGGGAGGCAGCAGUGGGGAAUUGUUCGCAAUGGGCGCAAGCCUGACGACGCAACGCCGCGUGGAGGAUGAAGAUCUUCGGGUCGUAAACUCCUUUCGAUCGGGAAGAACAGUUCCCGGGUCAAUAACCCGGGAGUUUGACGGUACCGAGAGAAGAAGCCCCGGCUAACUCCGUGCCAGCAGCCGCGGUAAUACGGGGGGGGCAAGCGUUGUUCGGAAUUACUGGGCGUAAAGGGCUCGUAGGCGGCCAACUAAGUCGGAUGUGAAAUCCCCAAGCUUAACUUGGGAACUGCAUCCGAUACUGGAUGGCUUGAAUCCGGGAGAGGGAUGCAGAAUUCCAGGUGUAGCGGUGAAAUGCGUAGAUAUCUGGAGGAAUACCGGUGGCGAAGCGGCAUCCUGGACCGGCAUUGACGCUGAGGAGCGAAAGCUAGGGGA
rnacentral:rRNA from 1 species